UCCGUAGGUGAACCUGCGGAAGGAUCAUUACAGUAUUCUUUUGCCAGCGCUUAACUGCGCGGCGAAAAACCUUACACACAGUGUCUUUUUGAUACAGAACUCUUGCUUUGGUUUGGCCUAGAGAUAGGUUGGGCCAGAGGUUUAACAAAACACAAUUUAAUUAUUUUUACAGUUAGUCAAAUUUUGAAUUAAUCUUCAAAACUUUCAACAACGGAUCUCUUGGUUCUCGCAUCGAUGAAGAACGCAGCGAAAUGCGAUAAGUAAUAUGAAUUGCAGAUUUUCGUGAAUCAUCGAAUCUUUGAACGCACAUUGCGCCCUCUGGUAUUCCAGAGGGCAUGCCUGUUUGAGCGUCAUUUCUCUCUCAAACCCCCGGGUUUGGUAUUGAGUGAUACUCUUAGUCGGACUAGGCGUUUGCUUGAAAAGUAUUGGCAUGGGUAGUACUGGAUAGUGCUGUCGACCUCUCAAUGUAUUAGGUUUAUCCAACUCGUUGAAUGGUGUGGCGGGAUAUUUCUGGUAUUGUUGGCCCGGCCUUACAACAACCAAACAAGUUUGACCUCAAAUCAGGUAGGAAUACCCGCUGAACUUAAGCAUAUCAAUAAGCGGAGGAAAAGA
rnacentral:sRNA from 1 species